rnacentral:rRNA from 1 species
UCCGUAGGUGAACCUGCGGAAGGAUCAUUAUCGAUUCAAACUAAUGAGGGGGAGAGUUGUCUGUAGCUGUGCUGGCUUUUAACCAAGGCAAUGUGCACGCUUGGCUUCUCUCUUUCUUCAUUUUACACACCUGUGAACCUGUAGUAGGGCAUCUCGCAAGAGGUGCACUAUGUCUUCUCACAUACUCCAUCACUAGUUUAUAGAAUGUACCCUUUUGUUCUCGUCAGAGACAAAAAGAAAGCUUUUAUAACUUUCAGCAACGGAUCUCUUGGCUCUCGCAUCGAUGAAGAACGCAGCGAAUUGCGAUAUGUAAUGUGAAUUGCAGAUUUUCAGUGAAUCAUCGAAUCUUUGAACGCAUCUUGCGCUCCUUGGUAUUCCGAGGAGCAUGCCUGUUUGAGUGUCAUUAAAUUCUCAACUCCCUUUGAUUUCUUCAAGGGUGAGCUUGGAUUGUGGAGGCUUUGCUGGCUGUAAAGUCAGCUCCUCUGAAAUGCAUUGGCAAAGGUUGUGUGCAUGAAAUAUGGCCUUUCGGUGUGAUAAUGAUCACUGUGGGCUGGUUGCUUUAACACCUAUGUCCAACUUUUUCCAGCUGGAAAAAAACACUUGACAACUUGACCUCAAAUCAGGUAGGACUACCCGCUGAACUUAAGCAUAUCAAUAAGCGGAGGAAAAGAAACUAACAAGGAUUCCCCUAGUAACUGCGAGUGAAGCGGGAAAAGCUCAAAUUUUGAAUCUGGCAGUCUUUGGCUGUCCGAGUUGUAAUCUAGAGAAGCGUUUUCCGUGCUGGACCGUGUACAAGUCUCCCGGAACGGAGCGUCAUAGAGGGUGAGAAUCCCGUCUCUGACACGGACUCCCAGUGCUUUGUGAUACGCUCUCGACGAGUCGAGUUGUU